rnacentral:lncRNA from 1 species
GCCAGACGCUCUAAGCUUGCACUCCCUGGGAUAGUGUUUUUGAAUUAUCGUCCACAGUUCCACGUUGACGAGAGAAUUUCUUCGGGUAUGGUACCGAGUCCACGACGAUACCCGGCGGCGACAGAAGGGACAGCAUAAACUCGCCUUUUCGACGGUCGACUGGAAGCACGGUUUACACAGCGUGUGGUUACACGGGAGGGUGACGGGCUCCACGAGGAUUUCCAUGCAGAUCCCGCACUGGCACUCGGACAGCGAGGGGAUGGCGUCUUUGGGUAGAGCCAUUUCAAUAUGUUAGUAAAGCCGACUAAACAACGACACCUGCACGAAAAAGAAUCCUAUUUUCGGCCAACCACAGAGAGAGCAAAAGCAGUUUUGUGUUUCAGUAUUAUGCCCAGAAGCGUAUCAGAAUUCGGAGAACAGGAGCAUCCAACACGUCUUGAAGCAAAAAGGCGCUCUCAGGGUCAGGCAAACAGGAAUACCCCGGAGGGCGGCGUCUUUGUCCAUUUUCAAGGCAAACGUCCCGCCAGCAAAUAAAUGCAGGUUUUCGUCGGAGGAGCCUGGCUGCUCCGCGGCAUGAACACCGCGGCUGCGGCUCCCGGGGCAGCGAGGGGAACGCGCCAAGUCCUCUCCUCCCCUCACCCG